rnacentral:rRNA from 1 species
AACGAACGCUGGCGGCAUGCCUAACACAUGCAAGUCGAACGAAGGCUUCGGCCUUAGUGGCGCACGGGUGCGUAACGCGUGGGAAUCUGCCCUUUGCUUCGGAAUAACAGUUAGAAAUGACUGCUAAUACCGGAUGAUGUCUUCGGACCAAAGAUUUAUCGGCAAAGGAUGAGCCCGCGUAGGAUUAGGUAGUUGGUGGGGUAAAGGCCUACCAAGCCGACGAUCCUUAGCUGGUCUGAGAGGAUGAUCAGCCACACUGGGACUGAGACACGGCCCAGACUCCUACGGGAGGCAGCAGUGGGGAAUAUUGGACAAUGGGCGAAAGCCUGAUCCAGCAAUGCCGCGUGAGUGAUGAAGGCCUUCGGGUCGUAAAGCUCUUUUACCAGGGAUGAUAAUGACAGUACCUGGAGAAUAAGCUCCGGCUAACUCCGUGCCAGCCGCCGCGGUAAAAC